rnacentral:rRNA from 1 species
CCUACGGGAGGCAGCAGUAGGGAAUAUUGCUCAAUGGGGGAAACCCUGAAGCAGCAACGCCGCGUGGAGGAUGAAGGUUUUCGGAUUGUAAACUCCUUUUGUUAGAGAAGAUAAUGACGGUAUCUAACGAAUAAGCACCGGCUAACUCCGUGCCAGCAGCCGCGGUAAUACGGAGGGUGCAAGCGUUACUCGGAAUCACUGGGCGUAAAGAGCGCGUAGGCGGGAUAGCAAGUAGCUAGUGAAAUCUGGUGGCUCAACCAUUCAGACUAUUAGCUAAACUGUUAAGCUCGAGACCGUUAGGGGUAACUGGAAUUUCUAGUGUAGGAGUGAAAUCCGUAGAUAUUAGAAGGAACACCAAUAGCGUAGGCAGGUUGCUGGGACGGUUCUGACACUAAGGCACGAAAGCGUAGGGAGCAAACGGGAUUAGAUACCCGGGUAGUC